rnacentral:rRNA from 1 species
UACAGAGGGUGCGAGCGUUAAUCGGAAUUACUGGGUGUAAAGCGCGUGCAGGCGGUGGGCUAAGUUGGGUGUGAAAGCUCCUGGCUCAACUGGGAGAGGUCGCUCAAGACUGGCCGACUGGAGAGCAGUAAGGGAAGGUGGAAUUCCGGGUGUAGUGGUGAAAUGCGUAGAUAUCCGGAGGAACACCAGUGGCGAAGGCGGCCUUCUGGACUGCUUCUGACGCUCAGACGCGAAAGCUAGGGGAGCAAGCGGGG